rnacentral:rRNA from 1 species
GAUGAACGCUGGCGGCGUGCCUAAUACAUGCAAGUAGAACGCUGAAGGAGGAGCUUGCUCUUCUGGAUGAGUUGCGAACGGGUGAGUAACGCGUAGGUAACCUGCCUGGUAGCGGGGGAUAACUAUUGGAAACGAUAGCUAAUACCGCAUGACAACAGUUAUUGCAUGAUAACUGUUUAAAAGGGGCAACUGCUCCACUACCAGAUGGACCUGCGUUGUAUUAGCUAGUUGGUGAGGUAACGGCUCACCAAGGCGACGAUACAUAGCCGACCUGAGAGGGUGAUCGGCCACACUGGGACUGAGACACGGCCCAGACUCCUACGGGAGGCAGCAGUAGGGAAUCUUCGGCAAUGGACGGAAGUCUGACCGAGCAACGCCGCGUGAGUGAAGAAGGUUUUCGGAUCGUAAAGCUCUGUUGUAAGAGAAGAACGAGUGCGAGAGUGGAAAGUUCACACUGUGACGGUAUCUUACCAGAAAGGGACGGCUAACUACGUG